AGGCCCGCCCGCUCGGAAGGAUGCGCCGCUCGGAAGGAUGCGCCGCUCGGAAGGAUGCGCCGCUCGGAAGGAUGCGUUGCGCGUUCAGGUGGGCGCCCGGCGGGUGUGUGCCGGGACCUGGGGCUGGUCGCUGGGGCGGGCCGGGCGGUGCGGGGCCGUCCGUGGGGACGGGCCAGAGCUCGGGGGGAGGAGGAAGGGCGGUGCUGAGGUCCGCAGUUCUGCGCUCAGGUGGGGCGGGGCAGGGGCCACGGGAUGCGCUGGGCCGGCCGGGCAGAGGGGCCGAAGGUGUCCGGAGCCGCCCUGCCCAAGCAGCUGCGGCGGGACCGGGGCCAGCGGAGCCGAGCCGGCGGCCCCGGCUGUGCUGCGGGGGCGGGACACGCGUGGGGCCGGGACACGCGUGGGGCCGGGACCGACGGCGCUCCUGUGCUCCCACCGCCCUGCUCCCAGCGCUCUCCUCUCGGCUGGGACCGCGGCGGCUCCUGCUCCUCCGCGCUGCUGCUCCCUGAAGGCAGUGCUGGGCUCCUGCGCUACUUCUUCCCCGAAAACCAGAGGCUGCAGAAUUUGUCCGAGAUGAACAUCAGCCCCUGAAACGGCCUCGAAUGACUGGGAAAGGAAGCGGGGACGGGAAAGGACUUCGGGAGACACCCACUGAUGUGUCCCGUGUUGGAAUGUGCCCGGCAUCCCUUGUGGCUUUGCUCCACUGAUAGCAGCAAGGCUCUGGCAGCGUGAGAGAGGUCAUCUUUGGCAUUUAUUUAAAUACUUGAGUACAAGGCAUGGCAUGUAAAAGGACCACUAAGUUUAAAAUUUUUUUCCCUCAACUGUGGCAAUUCAGGAGUUAUGCCUGUGAAGUUGCUCUUGGGUAGAGCUGGUUGAACUUUCUUAAUAGAGUGUUUUCAGUCAGCAAGUGUUGUGUAAAAGAAAGCAUUUGUGGGAAUUUUUCAGUGUCAGCAAAGCUUCGAUUAGGAGCAUCCCUGUUUUCCUGCCAGUUUGCUUGGCUCCAUUGCUGCCUGCCUGGUGGGCUGCUGCAGAGCUGGGCCUCCAGCAUUUCUGAUUCUUGGUACUUUGACAGGCUGCUAGGAGAGAUGCCUGGGGCUUCAGGGAGCUGGAGAGGGGGGACUAGAACUAUCCACAGAAUUUUGUUCACCUUAUUCUUGAGUGUUAUGAGAAUAUGACAAAUGUGUAUGUGGGAGAAAAUAGUAUCUAAUGUUUUCCAUUAGGAUGGAAAUCUGUUUCUUAGAAAAAGCUCCUGUUCCUUGUGAUCAAAAAUGCCAUUUCUUGUUCAGGUCUAUUUCUACUCCCAAAUCAGUUAAAGCAGCUGGCAUCUAUCUAACUGCUGGACCAUCUCUGUUGACACAAUUGUUUUCUUAGGAAUCACCUUUCUGCCGUUGAUAAGGGUUUGAGCAAAGGAGGUGUCUGAAGCUAGUUAGAGCAUAAUUUCUACCACUGCAAAGUCCAUUACCCAGUGGGAAGUGAAGACGGAAUUGAGAGCAUUCAUAGGGUCUCUUGCCUGUGAAAACUUGAAAAGAGUUGGCUGUGAGAGCUGCUGUUCCAGAGUGAAAUAAUUAGUGCCCACCGUAUGGGACCAGAAUGAAUUAUUACUGUUUUACCUGCCAGUGUUCUGUGAAUUCAAAAACUGCUGUCAUGUGUCCUAGAAUAAUGACUGUGUAUGUAAUGUACUUUACGUUGCUAAAUGUUUAACUGUAUUUAAUGUUAAUUAUUUUACUAACCAUAGGAAUUCUUAAAAAAAAAUCCAUGGCUUUAGUUUCUAUUAGAACUGUUAAGCUCAUAUCCUUUAUAGAAAACUCGCAUUGCUAAUCUUAAAAUGCAUAAUUACAGGAAAUUACAUUCUGAACUAUGUAGCUUCUCAACCCAAACUGGUUCUUUUUGUCAUCAAGCUCUUAUUCAUAUCUUUUCUAAAAUUACAAAUUAGGAUUGCGUAAUGUGCUGAAAAAUCAGCUCAUCUUCAAAGACAUUAUUGCUGAUGUAAAAAAAAAAGUUUUGGCAGUAAGAAACAACUGUUCACUUCUGCCAUUUUGUUAGGUUUUUUUGUUUGGACCUCUUAAUUUAUAGCUAUGGGCAUGUUAUGUUCUUUGGUUUCAAACUGGGGCAGAAAAAGUGUGAAGUGCAUUGCUUGAAACAGAUUGUCCCAUAGGGAAAGACCAGGGUGGGUUUGCUGCCUGUGUGAGGUUGUGGGGUUUGAUGCCUCACAGAAUUCAUCGUGCUGUCACAGCUUUUUUUUGGUUUUCUUUUUCAGAACACUCCUUCAUAGUGUGGUUGUAAAAUAGCAACCCUUGUUGUCAAGCCAUUCUGUUUAAUGCUUUCAUUUUUCUUCAGCCCCUGUAGAAAGACAUUUCUGAUACAUGUCUGUGUGAAGGUUAAGCCUUUCUCCACUUCUGAUGAGAUAAAGCAAUGGGAAAAUUUAAGGGCAUUGUGGACCAUUGUCUAACAGGAAUGGUUCUCUCAGAACUGACUCAGGAAAUGGAUCUGGUUGAUUAUUCAAGACCUUCAGCAAAGCCUUGUAAAAGAGUUGCCUCAUUUCGUGACACCUCUUUGAAGGACAUACCGAUGUUUGUGUGCUCUUUUGAAGGAGUGGACGUGAAUCAAACUGGUGAUAAAUCAUAUUUCAUACACUGCUUUUGCCCCUGGCAUGUGCUCCUAUGGAACCAGGCUGGGACAGAAGUUCUUCAAGGGUCUCCAGAUCCCACUCUGUUCUUAUCCAAUCUCCCUGCAAUUUACCCAGGAAAAGAAAAUCGGGAUUGGCUUUGGUGGGCCUGGGAUCCUCUGGUGUUGAUGGAAAGCUCCAGCACCUCUUGCACAAUUCCUCUCCUCGUGAGGCAGCCAGAGCCUUCCCCUGUGGGUGUGUGGAGGAAGGAACAGCCCAGCACAACUGCCUGUGGUUUAUCAGACACAGCAGGUUUGUGCUUUUCCAGCUACAGGAUGGCAGGGAAGCACUGAGUAGUGCCCACCAUGAAAAAUCCAAAUUCACUGAACAGCCCAUGCUGAAUUAAAUAGAAGGGUUAUUUACAAGUAACUGUGUGGAAAGAGCAGUGUUCAAGUGUUCAUGGAGCAGCAUGUACAGAAACCUUUGUGGCUUUUGUUAAGCUGUUGUCACCUGACCAGCAAUGCAUCGCUUCCACUCCAGAGGAGAGAGUCAGUGGAGCCGAGCUCCUAAGGACUCUUUUCUUCAGAGCAGCAGUCAUGUCCAGUACAUAGGAUGAGAAACCUUUUAGGAUUUGAGGUAGAAAUGAGGCUUCAGUUACUUCCUCUGUUUUGCAGUGCCUUUGAUCUGGAAACUUUCCAGAUGCAUGAAGUAAUCAGAUUUCUCAAUCAAAUUAAUUUUUUUUAAAAUUUGGUCUACCCUUGCCUUCACAUGACUUAUGUACACACUGUCUGGGAGUGUCAGAUGGAGAAAACAUCCACAUCACUGUGAAAUGCUUCAUGGUGAAUAAAGAGAAGAAACUCCUCUAAGGCAGAUAAGAUGUCACACUUACUUCCUCCCUUUUCCACCUGUGUGACAAUAACUGUACCAGGAGAGGUCUGCACAGAAAUCUGUGCAGAAACUGCAUUUGCUCAGUUAAGGACAGAGCCUCCAGUAAGCACUUCUGGUUUUAUUUGGGUGGCAGUUCGUGGCUCAUCUGAACAUUUUGAUAAUACUUGCACUCUGAUUUCUUUUUUUUCCCCCUUUUCUUCUACAUAUUUGAACCAUUUGUACUUUUCAUCCCAUUUUAUAGUAGCAUGAGGAAAAGCUGUAAGACAUUUCCAAAUAUCAAGUUUAACUAAGAAACUACUUUAAAAAUAAUAAAAUACAAAGGCUACUUUUGCUUAUGUGAUUGACUCUGGUGUUGAGAAGCCAAAGAGCACACAGGUAUGGUGUUAGAGGGUACCAGAUGGUGUUUCUUCUCCAGGAAAAGGAAAAUGCCUCUUUAUUGUUUCCCCUUUUUUUGUGUUGCAUGAGAAAUGAGCAUCUUUCUAUGAGAUCAUGUGGCAAACCAACCUACCUUGGGUUAUUCUUCUCCUCAGGGAAUAUUUGGCUUGUCACCUGCAGUUCUAGGAGCCCUCAUAAAGACCCAGGUGAGAGAUCAGCGCUGUCAGGAUCUUUCCAUCCAGGUAAGGUGAGCCAUGAGAGAUGAGCAGCUUCCCUUUAGGAAUCUACAGUAGGGCUGGUACAGAUAUUUUGAAGAAAUCUGAUUCUUCAGAAGCUUUCAAGCUGUUGAUGAUAGCUUAUUUUUUCAAGGCCAAGCUGCUUAGGCUAGAAGGUCUUCAAGGUGUUAGAGACUUAUUCUAACUGCACAGGCUUUGCAGCUGCCUUCAGUUUAUACAGCCCCCUGCAGAAGUUAUUUCUGAGUGUCAUGGCACCGUGGCUGAAUUUAGUGCAGUAUCAGAACUACUUUGUAAAGUUGCCAGCACCCUUGGAAGCUCAGAUGAUUUUCUGAACUGCUGGGAUUUUAAGGAAAUUCAUAUUUUGAAAAAUAAAUCUAAUAAUUAGUAUUUAUUAGUAAUUGUGGUGAUCCUUUUAAAAACAGUUUUAUUUGUACAUGCUGUGAAUGCCUUUAUUUGUUUCCUUUACAAAUAAAUAAAUUCAUCAGUCCCAUCUGUUGGGAAGCACGGGCUGUGUGAGAGGCAGCAGAGUCAGCAGAGGGAGCACAAGGAAACGAGCAGGACUGUGCUGUGUGCGAAGGACUGGGGUGGGAGUGCUUCUGCUGAACAUGCAGUGAAUAAUCAGAUACCUGUUUGGUAUUGUAUAAAGAUUUCAUCUCAGGAACACUUCCAGGCUGCCACCACGAAUACUUAGAUGGUGAAUAAUAUGAAGUUAUUUCUAGAGGUGCAUAAACCUGUCAAGUGGGACUGAUCUGUGAUGUGAGGAGUUGUUUCUGUCUCCAACCCUGAAUUACAUUUUGCUGUUCAACUUUGUUUUAGUUAGUGUUUUGCUCUCCUGCUGUGCCAAUAAGCAAAUACUUGUGCACAAACAUCCCUCCUGAUCACUUCUGGAGGGCCAGGAGGGGAAGCAGGUGGGUGGAGGCUGCUUGUGCUGCAGUUUCUACACACAUGUUGGUGGCAUUAAGCUUCCUGCUUGCCUUGGCACUCCUUAGGCCCAAAACAAGGGAGAAGAUAUUUUUGAGAAAUACAUGUUUCAUUUUUAAGCAUGCUUAACCUUAAUAGUUAUGACAAAUUUUUAAAAUAUGUGCAUUUGAGACAGCAUUAAUAAUUCACAUAUUUUUCAUUAAGAAAAAGAACAAACUGUCUAUAGGGCCAUUAAAUUCUUACUUGGCUAAGAUCAUCAACAUUUAGAUGACCUAAAAUGGUACCUUGUUUGGGUCAUAAUAUGCCACUUGAAAAAAAAUACCCUGUGAUUUAGUUUUGAUUCUGACAAUACUCAAAAGGAUUUGUUAUGUCUUACUGACCUCUCUGCAAACUACUAAUGGGAUGAACACAAUAUAUCACUUUUAUAAUAGUGAGCUAUUAAAGGCACACAUAAAGCAGUCUGAAGCCCAUAAGUGCUGCCAACAGCUUCUGCUUUAAUGAAUUCCCUUUUAGAUGUCCAUUAAAUGCUCAUGGCAAAUGUACUCAUAAUGGAAAUGGCAAAUCUAAAUGGGUAGAUAUGAAUAAUCCAUGGAGUUUAAAUUCUGUUUAUGAUCAUCUUCACAUUUAGUUUUCAAGACAACGCAGUUUAGUUUUCAUUACAGUUUGGAAUAAAGAGGACAGGGAGUAAUUGAUUGCUUCAAGCAGAUUAAAAUCAAUGCGUUGCUUUUCAAAGAACCCAUGGAACGCAGUAAUUUCAACUUUAAACGUUGAUUUAGGGAACUCAACACAAAAUGUUUUGUGCUGUGUGAACUUUUAUGUAGAAAGACUAAUACUAAUUUUAUUUCUAUAUAUCUGUAUAUAGAAAUAUAUAGAGGUUGUUAUCAGUAUGUGCAUGAGUAAACAGUGAUCUAUAGUAAGUUAUUUUGGUAUUAUUGCACUCAUGUAGUGAAUCAAUGAGAUUCCCGUCAUCAUUGGGAUACUGUUUGUAAACCAUUAGCACACAGAAAUUACAACCCAUCAUACAUCAUUACUGUGAUUGAGGCUUUAUUACCAUAUUCUCAAAUUGCUUGCUUGCUAUAAAACUAAAUAGACACCAGACAACUAUAGGUAGACGAUAGACUGUGCCUUAUUGGGCUGGACUAAUGAAGGAUUAUUGUAGCAUAAUGGGGCACAACUUACGAGGAAAAUAAACUUGGCAGCAAAGGAAAGCUUGAGUGUUUUUAUUGUUUGUUGUUACUGCUUUAAAGGUCAAAUAUAUUUGUUAUGAUCGAGUUACUGUUUCCUUAUUUCAUGAAUCAUUCAUUUUUUGAGUUCUGCAUAGGCCUUGUUUUAUAUUUAAGCAUUUAAAACACAGGAACUUCACUGUGCCUUUCAGCUCCAGAGGUGGAUCUACAGCUUUGGGGGAGUGGUGUGGUUGUCGUGGUGCUGGGAUGAGGGAGAGCACGAACCUCUGCACACAUUGGUUUUGUGCUGGACAGGGGCAGGGAAGAAGAACUGCAUCAACAGACAUCAGCUGUUAAAUGUGAUAUAAGUUCUCCAAACACAUGGAGGUAAAGUAUCAAUUAGGAAUUUUGAGAGCUAUAUUGAAAGGAUUUAUGAUACCUUCAUUAUAAAAGAUGAGAGGGCACACUGAAUUUCAACUUGGGGAAUUUAGCAAUCUCUUGUGACAGAACCAAGGGCUUUACAGUAUGCACAGGAUAUAUUCAAGGUGUUACUUUCUCCAGCUACAGAAAAAAAAGUAUUUUAGAAAAUUGAAUUUAGGGCUUCUGACCAUGAGACAUGUAAAGAGGGAAGCAUUUCUUCAUACUCUUGUGAGAUUUCAGAGAUGGGUUCUGAAAGAGAAAAAGACAUAACAGUCUGUUAUGGUGGCAAAGAGGUGUCAACAUUCUUCAUCCUUUUUACUUGCCUCCUCAAAAGGAUACCUUCAUACCCUUCUGAAUUUGUGCUGUCUGUGCCAUCUUUCAACAAUAUUUGCUUCUGCUCUACUAGAGUUUUUAGAAUAUUACAGAAAAAUGUGGUAAGCUCCAUAUUUUAGUAAGACAGGAACAUGUUGUUUCUGCCAGUUAUGUUUAGCUGAAUUUUCGAAUGAGCAAGGGUUGUAAACCUUUGGGUGCUGAGGUGUUGGGAGAGCAGACACCUUAAGGCUUGGCUACCUACAGGCAUAGAUUGCUGGAAAAGGUAACAGACAGUGCUAAAACUUCUGUAAAUUAUUAAAAUAUUUCUGUGAGUUGAUGUAUUGCUAUGUACCUGACAAUUCCAGUUUUAUUAAUAAUGAUAUUCCAUAUUUUUUGCAUGAAAGCUUCUGGAGUUCUUAAUGGGGACUAGUGAAACCAUACCAGGAUAGAGUACUCAGUUGCUGAGAGGCAGUGAACAACUUGAUGUGCAUUCACUUUUGCCAGGGGUUUUGGAAACACAUGCUUUUUAAUAAAGUACAUUUGACAUUUCUUUGGCUUCCAUUUGGCAUGAAUUCACAUUUCAUUUCAGUUCUGAAAGUAGAGGCAAUGUCUCUAAACCACAACACAUCAUUAUGCACCAGUCCAAAUAGGAGGUAAGGAUAGGGGAGGAAAUGAUUGUUGGGUUGUAUUUUAUACAUGCUUGACAAUACAUAUGUAUUGUUUUUUACUAGGAUAUGUACAAUAAGAGCAUUCUAGGUUGAGAAAUGGUCAAAACAUUGCCGAUAUGCAAUCUAGACACAAAAUACUGCUUCUCACGAGUAGAAUGCGUCAGACCUGGAAAACUCGCAGGGCUUUUGUCUGAGUUUGCAGUGAGGCCCCUCUUGUGGGCUCCCAGCUCUGCAGAGUCCUGCCACAGCUGGGAACGCUCCUGCAGCUUCCCUCAUUAGACAGGGAACUUCCUUGGCUCAAGGAAAAACCCUUUGAAGUGACAAUGAUGCUAUAAUGUACCCACAGAAGAUUGUGUGGUUCCAUUAUCUCCAUAAUGGAGGCUGGUUUGGAGAGAGCUUCCCCUUUGUCCUUUCAUCAGGAAUUGGUUUGUUCAGUGCUCAAUGAAUCAGUUCUGAUUUCUUCAAAGAGAUGUCUGUCAGGGAGUCUGAGUAUUCUGGAGUAAUCAUUGUUAGGCAAUGUUCUUUUCUUGAGUUUAAGAGAGCUGUAAUUAUAAACAUCUCACUAUUUGGGUUUUUAAUAGACAUGAUUGCCACAGCAAAUGUGUUCAGCUGUUAGGUUUGAAGAAUACAUUUCUAUUAGCUUUUAGGCAGAUCUUUCAUGUAGUUGCAGAUAGUGUCUCUAACUUUAUGAUAUGUCAAUACCAUUUUUCUAUAAUCAUGCCGUCAUAAUAAUGGUACCAUUUAUACAUAAAUAUUUUAGAAUGCUGCAUGAAGUCAUCCAUUUUUAUUUGUGUUAAAUCUCUUCAUGCAUAUUUGGUAAUUCUUAUAUAGAUGUGUUCUCAUUUAAUCAGUAGAAAUUAGAUAAUUUGCUAAUUUUUCAGAAAUUGUGAAGUAUGUUCAAUCACUCUUUUUAAUAAAUUAUUAUGGUUUUAAAUAUUUUUUAAGACAUUUCAUUUGGAAGUAUCACUCAGGUUUUGACUAUUAGAUUUAACACAACUGCAUUUGGUUUGCUCAUCAAAAGUGGAGAGCAUUUAAUAUUUAUUCAUAACAAAAGUAUUAGAGAAGCUGUCAAUAAAUUUUCUGUCAUAAUUGAAUCAUUGGAUAUCUAAAUUGUUGAUAAUAUGAUCUGCUUGUUAAACAAAAGUGUCUGGAGAAAAUGAUGGAUUAAUUGACUGAUGGCUAAGGUUUCUCUCAAAUAUAAUGGUUUACCCAGUUUGAUUUGAUUUGUGUAAAAUAACUUUCUCUAAUAAACAAUUUGCUCAGAGGCAAUAGAAGAAAUGAAUGGUUAUCAAACCAAACUUAAUUAGUCUCUCCUAGAUUGAUAUUACUUGGGGAGUCUUCGUUUUAAUUGUGGAGAGCUGGAUACAAAGAGUUUGGUUCAUUAUAUUUUUCCUGUAUAAACACUAUUGCGUAACUACUUAUGGAAUAUAACAUGUAAAUUCAUUUUAAUAAGUGCAUGUAAAGUGGGUUAGCUAAUUAUGCCAGGCUAAAAAUGAUUCCUUUAAUUAUUUUACAUAUUUAACUAGUACUUCAAUUUUAUUAUUGUUAGUCUGUAAACAUAAUUUGUAUUAGCUCUGCCAAACUAAUUAGAAUAUACAACUUAAACAGUUUUAAUAGUUUUGUAAUGCUCAUAAUGCACUCUUCUCUUAAAAAUACAUUUCUAUUCUAGAAAUAUUCAAAUAAUAAAGACAUUUUUGGCAUAGAAAGAUUUUUAUAUAUGAGGAAGAAUACCUUUUCCUCAAAAAUACAGUUUCAGAAAAGUUAAUGUGGUUUGAGACUCUGGAAUAUUUGAAGGAAAUAUCUGAAGAAAAACCUUUCUUUUCCUAAGAGAUGUACUCAAACUAAACAUAAAUCAUUGAGUAACAUAAUUUUGUGGGAUUCCAGACUGUUUUGUUGUCCAUGGAUAAAACAAACCACAAGUACAGUUGCAUUUCACCCUUUCAAAGGUUAAGCACAGCACAUACUUAAUUGUGUUAGUAGGUGAGAAUCUGCAUGUUCAGAUUAUGAAGAGUUGCUCUUAAAGGCUUCCAGUGAAUUUAAGGUAAAUAAAAUUUACUCUUUUCUUUGAAAAAAAAGAAUUUUCAAAACAUCUGUAGAAGCUUUACAAGAUUUUAAUAUAAAAUGUACGUGAGAGGGCUGUUGUUUGAAACUGAGUAAAUGUGGAAAUCAAGACAUUAGUGAAGAGUAAUUUGGGUGUUCUUAGUGAUAUUCAUUCAUGAUUAAUCUUGGGUUUAUAAACCCAGAAAUUAAUCUGGAUUAUUGUUUCUUCUCACACAUUAAGUUUUGAUUUUGACAAUUUGUUGCUUUAGUUUUCCUUAGUGUAGGGAACUACAGAAAACUGAAAAUGCAGGGGGAAAUAAGGAACAUCUUUUAGUUUCAUCUGUGCAAUCACUGAACGUAGGUAUGCUCAGACUUGGGGACAUGGAGCCUUCUGAGCAUAAAUUGAUGCCGUGAGCCUGAGCUGACACAUAGGUGACAGUGACAGGAGCCUACUGCAGACUGGCACAUUGGGAGCAUCUUUGGGAACAACACUGAGCAGAACCUCUGGUACUCUCGGGUAACGUGUUCUCAGGAGUUCUCUCCGAGACUCAGACACUUUGGUUUCAUUAUCUCCCCUCUGUCAGGCCAGCAGAACCCCCACUCUGUACAGGUGUCCUGCACUCCUCACUGCCAUGGCUCUCCGGGACUUUCACCAGCGUUUGGGGAGCAAGACAGUAAGAAACAUGGGAAUGAGAGCUUUGGAAUAUAGUAGGUUGAUGAAAAUAAACUUAAACAGUAAAAUAACAGUAACAGUAACAGUAAAGUUCUACAGUAAAGUUUUACAGGAACAGUAAUAUAAACUUAAACAGUAAAGUCCCUGGGCAUUAUUUAUGUAUCAACUUUAUCAGUUAAAUCUCAAUGAAGUCACAGAGAGUCUCACAACCACCUUGAGGUUCCUCCAGCUGUGACUCAGCGGUGCAGCAGAGAGGCCACGUGGCCACCUAACCAAAUCCAGAUGUCAGAUUCUGCUGAAAACACUGAGAGCACGAGGGCAUCUCCGUUCCUGCCUGGGGUGCAGGGAGGGCGUAGUAAAUGUCAUUAUUAAACACUCAUUGAUUUACACAUAAAAUCCAGUGAUGCUGAGGUAGGGAUCAUAAUCCCUCUCCUGAUUAGUUGUGGCAAGAACACCAUGGAGAAAAGUGUAGCAAGAUUGUGUGGCAGUUCCAACUAAAUGUGUUAUUUUAACGAUUCUUAGCAAUGAUUUAUUUUCCUUGGUAAUCUAUAAUAUGUUCCUUUACAAGUCAUUAUUUCAUUAGGCAAUUUUACUCAUUCUGAAAUAAAAAAAAAACCCAAACCUUUAUUUACAAAUUUUCGCCUUACAGCCAGGAAAUAAGGAUUCUUUGACUUUUGCAAGCCUUUAUGAGACUCAAGGUAGUUAGUGAUUUUUAAUAUAGAAGAAAACAAGUAUAGGGCACAAAAAAAAUUUUAGUUGGAUCAGAAAUGCAAGGUUUAUCCUAAAGCAUUUACAAGUUGGUAUCUGAAUUGAAGUAUUUAAGAAAUAUUAAACAGUGUACAAGCGAACAGAGGAAGUGAUUUUGAAAUAUUUAAAAUUCUUAGGAAAAAGCACAAAAAUAAUAUAUGUUAAAAUUAUAUUAAACAUUUAUAAUGUUAAAUCUUAAAGCAAAGGUAAGCACAAUUUUCAGAUCAAGUUUUGAAGUUGUAAUAUUACAGAGAUAUGUGUAAUGUGUUUCACUGAGGUCAUGUUAUUCUGAACUGGGAUGUUUCACUUCACUGACUGACAUGUUCCUAUGGUGUGAUUCAUGCUGAAUCUUUGUAAUCUCUAUUGAUAUCCAAACACACUGUGCUUUGUUAGAUUGCCAUGUACCAAAUCUCAUGUUGGUGUUACAUUACCAUUCCACUAAAAUGUAUAGCAAAAGUAGUGAUGGUUAUUUAAUAUUUUUAUUCUGAUUGUUUCAGCUACAGAGUUUCAACACACACUUAGGAGGAGUUGUGUUACUCAUUGUGCUUCCCAAGGAGUAUGUUAUGGGAGCAGUACAUUUCUCAUUCAAUAUUUCAGGUAACCAAUGCAAAAGUGUUCUCUGCAUCCAGUUUUCUCUGUUACUGCACUAUUGGGUUGUGGGCCUGGCUGACAGUUUGUCCUUGAUAUCUUAUCUGCUUGACAAACCAAACAACUUGUUAUUGUAUUUUAGUCAAGGUCCUUCCUGGACCCUCCUCAAGACUCCCAUCAAAGUCUUGUGGGAGCAAGGUAAAAUUAAAAAAAAACCCCAAGAACAACAAUGUUUGCAUACAGCAAACAGCUCCUAAUUUCUUUGUAGUAAUUUUGAUUUGAAAACCAACCAGAUAGUUAUUAAUUAGAAGAGUAACAACUUUGGUUUUGCUGCAUUUUGUGGGUUUUUUAUAAUCUGUGGUGGAAACUGACUGCAUUUUGUUAAUAUUCCUAGCUUGAUAUUAAAGCCUAUCACAGAAUCACCAUCCUCGUUCCUGCCACACCUCCUGGCACCUCUCAGUGCAGUAACUUUGAUCUUUCUGUACACAUGGCACAGCUCUGACAGAAGCCAGCCUUGAAACGGCCAUUCAGAACCCCGGCAGUAUAAAGAGAUCCUUUCCUCACUCUAGCACCUGUGAAUCUCUAUUUAUGCUCAUGCAUUCUAAAUGAGAGCAAUCUUUUGGAGGUCAAUUGGCAAGGUGGGCCAAAACUUUAAAGGUAACCUGCUGGAAUAAAUUCCUUUGGUUAAACCAAACCAGUGUUUACGCUUGACUGUCUUGGUACUUUAUUUGAGAUCUACCUUUGUGGUUUAUUCUAUAGUUACUCGCAGGCUUCCAAACCCUACAGGUUUGGUUCUAACACUUGACGCUUUCAUGCUCAGGAUAUUAGUAACUGUUAAGAAGGCUGAAGAAAUCAGUUAGAUUUAGGAUUGUUCUUGGUAAGUUUAUGAAUUAACUAAUAUUGUCUGGUUGACUGGAGCAGCAGCAGUCUGGAUAAAAAGCCCUGUGAAGCCUCUUACAGGGCUGUGUUCUGCAUUCCUCUGUUCAUGUCUCUAUAUAUCCAACAGUUUAAAAUGCUACAUAGAUGAUUAGCAGUAAGUUGAGCUUGAUUUAGAGGAUCAUUAUGAUGUCUUUUUGUUACCUGUAUACUGACUUUGCAUUCAGUAGCAGCUGUAAAAAUAAACUUCUCUUCGUGGAUGAAGUUCAGAACAGAAUAAGAACAAUCCUUGUAAUACUUCAGUCAUAUAGUAAAUGGCAUUUGGGGAUAAAUAGAGGAGGAGACUGCAAGCUUUAAUGGAAAAAGGAUUUUUAAAAGGAUUGUCUCAAGCAUAGUACAAUAACUCUUGAGAUAAGGAAGGGGGUUAAAGAUGCACAAGUGAAAGAGUGCGCUCUUACCUGUUGCCAAGUAUUUUUUCAUGUAUGCAUUACAGGUCUUUUUUGUAAUGGUCAGUAUUGCCCUUAUUGUGUUCUAUUUACAUGUCUGACUUCUUGUUUGGAUUUUACUUGGUGAUUUGGUAUUAAUUUUUAAUGUGAAAGCACUUAGCAUUAGGAGUUUGACAUUUUGUCUGACCUUAAUCAUCAAGAGGAUCAUGAGAGGUUUAUUCAGUGGGAAGAGAAUUGUUACAGCUCCGACAGAAAUGAUGGGAAAUAAGUAAACAGCCUUUUAAAUCUUCACCAGAAAUCAAUAGAGCUUAAAGAUGAUGGACGUUGGUGUUUUUUGCUGUUUAAGGACUUCAACCUUUUACGGGAAAAUAUCUUCUCAGAGUGUCAGCGUUUUUUUGCCCAGCACCAUGAAUCACUGCUGCAAAUAGAACACUCUGCAUAGAGCACUUGAUCUUUGUUACACAGAUGAUGUUAUAGAUCUGUCUCUCUCUGAUACUGCAGAUGUUUAUAUUUUUACACAUAGAGGUGUGGUGCUACUUCAUAACAUGGCUAAUUAAUGUAUGGUCAGCAAAGUAAUUAUGUAAUAAGUAAUUAUUUUUGAUAGUACUUAAACUGACGAACUCCUGGUUUUAUUCUAUAAUUAAAGUCUGCUAUUUAGAACUUUUCCAGUUUUAUAUUCUUCCCUGUGUCUAUAGAAAUACCUUCCUUUAAGUGAGAGUUCUCAGCUUUUAGUAACUGGGAGUAAGAGUUCCUCUGAAGUCUUUGUGUCAGCAGGCCUUUCUGAGCCAGGCAGAUUUUGAGCAGUAGCAUAGCAAAUUAUGUACUUUGGCUUUUCAUGAAUGAUUUAUUAGAUGUUAGGCUGAUACAGUAGUUAGCAAUAUAUGCAGAAAGAGCACUAUUCAGACCCAAGUAUUUGUACAUUUGCAUCAUCAUAAAUCAUUUGUUGUGCUAUUUGGGGUUUUAUUAUAUAGUAUUGGAUUCCAUUUUAAAACAACUAAGUAUACAGUAAAUUAUAUUCAAAUAUAGUAAAGUUGCAGUUAAAUAGUAAUUGAGAACUUGACUUUCAAGCUUUCAGUUAAUUUGUUUGCAUCCUUAUGCAGCCAUUUACUCAGAAUAAAGUGAAGAGGAUUUAAUUUUGAUUUGUAGACAACCUUUUAUAUUUAAAAUAACUGUAGUGACUGUAGUUUUAUGCUAAUAUCUAAGCAUGCCACAUAUACUCUUAGGCAAAAUUGUCCCCUAAGACCUCGUGAUAUGAAGUGAUCUUUGAUUUAAGGCUGCAGCACUUUGGCUACAACUGUGUUCAAUGAUUAUUAAAGCGGAGUUAUUACAGAGCAGCUGAUGGAAUUUUUUCGGUAGUUUAUCUCAAUUGAUUACUCGUAUCGAGUACAGAGUGGCAAACAUUUAAAGCAGUUCCUCGUGUUCCUGGCGCAGCAGCCAGGCCCUGCACUGCGCUGGGCUUGGAGCUGCCCUGGGAUGCAGGGAUGGAGCCGGGCGGGAAUGGGGAUAGAGCCGGGAUAGAGCCGGGAUGGACGCAGAGAAUGGGGCAGGGAGCCCGAGGCUGGGAUCCCCGGGGCGGAGGCUGGAGCCCUCCUGGAAUCACCGGGGCUGUUCACCUGCAGGAAAGGGGGCUGCGUACAUCCAGGCAGCGUUUGGUUGUUUCCUUAGCCAGCUAAUGCAUUGCAGGAUGCCCAGCUUUGAGAACAGUGCCCAGAACAGAAGGAAAAUCUUCCAAAUAACACUGCUCUGUAGACAUUUUCCUGCCUUUCAUCUACUGUGUGGAUUAUGAGGGCAGUAGGUAAUGUUGCUUUCACUUAACAUAAAACUAAACUAGCAGAGAUGGCAGGGAUACUUCAGGACUGAAACCUUAUUUUUGGAUCACUUUGACGUCCUUACAUACAAAUAUUCCUUUUAAAUAAGUCAAAUUACACAGCAAAGAAGCACAGAAGAGGGAAAGAAGCACAUAAUGCCCUCUCUUUACUUCUUGUUAAGUUGUUUAGUUGAUCUGGGCCUAAAUUUUCCACUGUUAAGCAGAUUAUUUUUGUUUACUUUGUUGUCAAUUUUUAUAUAGUUAGAGAUUUCUUCUCUGUGAUGGCAGGCUGAAGUUUUGCCUUUACUUCUCUUUCAUUGUUUUAAGAGGACAGACACAGACACCAGAUGCUGGGUCAGAGACAUUUCUUUCAGGGCCAGAAGUUUGGACUUCUUUGGAGGUUUUCCUGGGAUAACAAGAACUUUUCUUCAUUUUUCAGCCUUUAAGCAUCAUAUAAUUUUUGGCAUUUUAAUAUUUGUCACGUACUAAUUCUGAGUAUGGAUUUUCUUUAACAGCCUUUUCUUGAUGAUUUUGUAUAGCUUUACUAAAGAUAAAAAAGCUUUCUAUGGAUUGAUUAACUAGUGAAGGCCACACUAGCAAGCUGUAAGCUUGAUUUUUUCAAUUUGUUGCUUUCCUUUUUCAACCCAUUUAUGAAGAUUAUAUUGCCUAAAAAAGGUCGCUUCCUUUGGCCUGUCCCUUUGCAAAUGUGAAGUAACUGUGUGGAUGUUAAUCCUCUCUGCUUUACCUUGGUUGCAGCUCCUAGAGAGAGUCCUUCAAAGCAGCAGGGAUGUGCAGCAGGGCUGUAGACAUAUAAUGGAGCCUUUCCUGGCUGUCUGGGGAGCCCUGGGAAUGCGGGCUGGGAUGGGACAGGAUUGAUCACCAUGUGUGGAGGAGGGGACAGCUAAAAUUGCUGGGCAGGUAAAAGAGCUUUUUAAAUUAAUGGUGUUGCCGGCCCAGGAUCAAAUGGAUAUGGCUAUCAAACACCUUUGGUUAGAAAUUCAAAACAUACAGGCUCAUCUAGAAGAGCCUCCCAGGAGGGGAAUUAUGGAGGCAAAAUUAUUAACGGAUUUUGAAAUUAAAUUUGAGUGAUUUAUAAAAGGAUUAAGGGACAUGGUUGCCUGUAUUGGUACAAACUGUAUUCAGCAUCCACAAGAUUCCUUCUAGGUAUUUUAGGUCUCUUUAGAGACUUUAUCUAUUCUUUAACAUGAUUGAAUAAUGUAGAAGUUAAUUUUGCAUUUCCCGUUUAAAAUCUUGUGUUAAUACUUGUGAAUCUAUGAACUUAGAGUAUAACUGAUGAGAUUUCUGCCUCAUUUUUCUAUCUGAAAAUUACCUCUAGAUGACAUGUUGUCCAUCUGGAGAGCAAAGGAAGGUAGGACUCGUGCAGAAGGCAGUGGUGUCCCUGCCGAUGGUGCAGCCUUGCUGAUGUAGCUGGGGAGAGCAGCUGGUGGGUGCUGCUGCUCCUUCCGCUGCCUGGUUUCACUUCUGAGCCCACGGUGAUUGCCAUGUGCACAGCGAGUGCAGUGCGGAACUAAAAGAGGAUUUUCCUGACCUGUGCUCUGUACUGUAAGUGAAACUGAGUUUGAGCAGGCUCUGCUGCUCUGCAUGCACCCCGAGGCUCUCCGGGACAUCCCCGCGCUGCCUUGGCUGCAGCUGAGCAGAGACAGCGCCAGACAAAGCUCUGAGCUCCCAGCACUGCCCUGCUCGCCCUUCUCUGGGAUGCUGGGUGUGCAUGUCGGGCUGCAGGGUGAGGCUGUGCACUCGCUGUGGUGCUGAGGCCCUUCUCUGGGAUGCUGGGUGUGCACGUCAGGCUGCAGGGUGAGGCUGUGCAGUCACUGUGGUGCUGAGCCCCUUCUCUGGGAUGCUGGGUGUGCACGUCGGGCUGCAGGGUGAGGCUGUGCACUCGCUGUGGUGCUGAGCCCCUUCUCUGGGAUGCUGGGUGUGCACGUCGGGCUGCAGGGUGAGGCUGUGCAGUCACUGUGGUGCUGAGCGGGAAGCUCGCUCUGGUGGUUCACACUGCGACCUAUGUGUGGAGUGUGCAAGAAGGUCCUACUUUUGCUGAUCUUCGGGAUAAAGUCACUGAACUGCUCAUUUAUGAUGUCAUGCUUAUCUUCCCUUGCCUUGUAAGUGGUUUGUUACCGUAAUUUUCAGAUAUCUUUAAAAUUCCCGUCUCUUGUGCUUGCGUAUCAUUAAUGAGACUCCUUUGCUGCAUGUUUCAAUUCAGUGUUGCAGAAGAAGGGACUGAAAAUGGAACCAAGUGUUGAUCCUUCCUCAAUGGUAAUUUUGUUGGAUAUUAAUUGGUAACUUGUUUUGGAUUGACACACAAUUAUUGAUCCCUGGAUUUAAUAGAAUAGAAGACGGGAAGCAAAAGCCAGCAGAAAGAACACGCAGAGCAGUAGAGCAGUGUGUUCUUUGAGCAAGCAGGGCCGUCACUCUGACAUUGCCACCCAGAGUGACAGGGUGGGUGUCAGGGGUGGGUGUCACUGCCACCCAGAGUGACAGGGUGGGUGUCAGGGGUGGGUGUCACUGCCACCCUGAGUGACAGGGUGGUGUAGGGGUGCGUGUCAGCACCACGUGUGGUGCUGGAGGUCCCUCCUGUGUCAGGGAGCUGCUGGGAUCACGCUGUACAUCUUCAUCAGCCAGGCAGGCACAGCAGCCUCGUAUUCCCAUGAGCUGUGGCCAGGCCAUAAUUAACCUUGUGAACUCGGAUUUCCAACAGAAUGUAAAAUCAGCUCAGGUUAUCAAUUACAGUCACACUCCAUUGAUGGUUGCCAAGAAGAGCUUCUUAGGAAGAAAAAGACAUUAUGAUUUGCUCAUUUCUUCAUAAAGUAGCAAAAUACGUUAUCAUUCAUUAAAUCAUAAAUCUAAAUAAUAGCUAGUCCAUAGAUUUAAUAUCACCUUACUUUGGUGCAUUACUCACAGGUUAUGGGCCAGUACCAUGUCUGUUAUUAGCAAAGCUCACAAGUAAUUUUGCUAUAAAACGGAAUUAGGAAAUGUUUUAUAAAAAGAAAUUACUACCCUUUAAAAUAAGGCAAUUUUAUCAGUGUUUUGAGUUUUUAAUGUAAUGUUUAAUUUAAUUAAAUUGUUUUUAAUUUAAUGUUGUAAAUGCUUAACCCUUCAGUCUGGAAAACUAGUUUUACAUAAUUCAGGGACUUCAGAGUUCAUAUAUUUGUUGUGACUUUUAAGCAUAAUCAUUAAUUAAAAGCAGUAUUUGAGAUUAUGAUCUGUUGAGUCUAUUGAUUGUUCUCAACUGAAUUUAUACCUUUUUAAUACUAGUCAGUGAUGGUGCUUUAUAACAUCAAUGUUAAUCAGUGUUAAUAGCUCAAUGUUUAUAGGUACACAAUUUUAUAUGCAAAACAGAUUAUAAUCUAGUUAGAUUUAAUUUUUUUGUUCUUACACAGUACUGUAUGAAUAUGCAGAGUAUUUUUAAACAAACUUCUUACAUUUGUUUUUCCUAUAAUGUACUUCAUCCAUCAUAAAAAUGAAUGAGAUUAUCAGUCAGGAACUGACUGCUUUUUCUUAGUUUGAUUGCUACUGUCAAACUAAAACACUGUCCAGUGUUUUAAAAAUCUGGAAGGAUUCCCCUUUAAGAGUAGUUUGUCACUAUUACUCUAUAAACACAGGGAGUAAUUUAUCUGUCCACCUAUGCAAUAUCUUAUGAUGGAGGAAAAAAUCCUAUUACAUGUCCAUAAUAUAUAGAAGAUCUUUAGAGUGCACUUCAAUAUUUCUUAUUUGCUCUUUUCUCUUGUUAGUAUUGCAAAUUUUAUUUUCAAGCCUACUUAAACAAAUAAACACAUAAUUACUAGAAUAUGUCAUCUUUGAAAGGCAAUAAAUGUUGUUUUCUUGAGAAGAUUUGUAACAUACUUUUGCUCUUUCACAUUUACUGUCUUUACCUGCUAACAGUAGCCACAGUCCAUGCAUGAGCAAUCUUUACUCAAACAUCUCUUAAUCCUUUUCCUUACUUCAUUUUCUGUAAGUAUAGGUUUGUUAACUGCUUGCAAGAUAUUUUGGUCAUAUUUUUAAUUAAGGCUGUCCAUCAGAAACUGAGGAAAGGGCCUUUAGAAGACCAUUUGUCCUCACAAGGAAAGUGCCCGAUAAAAUUGGGUUGUUUUUUUUUUACCAGCCCACAAUUUAAACACAGUCUUACUAAAAAACAAAAACAAAACAGCAUGAACCUCAUGUAAGCAUAAUUCGUCCAUGGUACAUGAAUUCAAAGUGUUAUAUUUCUUUCUGUAUCCUUACUUUUUAGAUUUGGGAAAACAAAUUAUAUUUAAUUCUCUUUAAAGAAAUUACUGAUCAUAUGGAAAAAUACUUGAAGUGUAAAAUUCAGGUAACAUAAAUUUUUGCCUAAAAAACCCCUCAAACCAGAAAAUUAUUUCAUUGUGCUUCCAAUCAGUAUUGUCUGUUUCCAUCCCAGCUAUGGGCAGGGGUUCCCUGCCCACUCGGAGAGGUCUGUCCCGACUCUGGCUCUAUUCCUCAGAAGGGCAGCACGGUUUGCAGAAGGUGUGACAGGAUUUUGUGUGCAAGUGAAGGGAUGUGCUGAGGUCUGAGGGAAUCAUGGAUUUUAUGUGUCUGGUUGGAAUUCCAGAGGGCUGUAUGAAAGAGCUGACAGAGGAUUACCAUCUCCAAAUACAAGGGCAACAAAAGGCACCCAAAUUAAAUUCUGAAUCUUUGAAACCAAUUCAAAAAUAUUUUAUUACUUGUUGAAUUUCGUUCUCUGUCAUUCCUUUCUGUCUUUUUCUGUCCUUCUGCUGAACAAAUGACUUUGUAAUAUAUUUGCUAAAGGAUUCUGAAGAGUUGCUUGAAUAACAGUAUAAGGUGCAGUGUUAAUUAUCCCUCUCAAAUGCAUUUGCAUGUAGGUAAUACCUGUAUUAUGCAAAUAAAACUCUUCCAAUUUCCUUUUUAGCUUCUGCAGACAUAAGCUGAAUCUUGGAUAACAGGAUUCUUUAGUGUGGGUUUGGAUUUUUUUCCUCCUCACAUCUUAAUUAGGAAAGGGAAAGGAUAAUUGUACAAAAUACAAACUAGAUUUCCAUAUCUGAGCAGUAUUUUCUGGAUUGUGCUUUUGUAACAAUAUUUAAGAUACUUGAAUGGAACAGCACGUUGGCCUAAGCCUUGGAAACAAUGAGUACUAUUAAUGCUAUGGAAAUCAGCAGAACCUGAAAAUCGGAUUCCUUAACAAUAGGAUCAAUUCUCUUGCAUUGGAAUCAAAAAAGUUCUUUAAUUCUCAGGUUUAUCAUUUCACAUUCUUAAAGUUCAUUUCUUCCCUCAUUCUGAGGGUGAUUUAUUUUGGUUGCUCUGUUAUAGAUGAAGUAGUUUCAUCUUUCAACCUCACUGCAUUUUCUCUAGGAUUUCUAUCACUUAAGACCUCAAAAUAAAGGUGAGAGAAGAUGAAUGUGUAUAUGGAAGAACCCUCAGCUGGACCCAGCCCCAGGUAUCUGAAACUUUGCAGUUUCUCAAAGUUUAAUGAAUGUUUACUGUGCUCAGCAGAGCAAUCUGAAAGGUCAAGUGAAAACCAAAGGUUUUAUUCCACCGAGCUUCAUCACUGUGACACUUCUGGUAUUACAGUGGUGGAGCAGCCGUGUUUUGUAAGCAGAUGAGAGUGCUUUGCUCUCCUCAGGUGGUUGGCACGUGUGGGGAUGGACACAGGCAGAGCUGACACACCUGUCUGGCUGGCUGGGCUAUUCUUGCAUGGCCUUUUUGAGUCUGUGUGUUCCUUUAAAGAAUCCAAGACAAAAACAUGCUCUUAUAAACUGAGUGUAACAGUACCAGGUGGCUGUGUAAGGCA